rnacentral:rRNA from 1 species
UACAGAGGGGGCAAGCGUUGUUCGGAAUUACUGGGCGUAAAGGGCGCGUAGGCGGUUUUCUAAGUCAGACGUGAAAUCCCCAGGCUUAACUUGGGAACUGCGUCUGAUACUGGGAGGCUUGAGUGCGGGAGAGGGAUGUGGAAUUCCAGGUGUAGCGGUGAAAUGCGUAGAUAUCUGGAGGAACACCGGUGGCGAAGGCGGCAUCCUGGGCCGACACUGACGCUGAGGCGCGAAAGCUAGGGGAGCAAACGGG